rnacentral:rRNA from 1 species
GAUGAACGCUAGCGGGAGGCUUAACACAUGCAAGUCAAGGGGCAGCAUAGGGUAGCAAUACUCUGAUGGCGACCGGCAAACGGGUGAGUAACGCGUAUGCAACCUACCCUGUACAGGGGGAUAACCCGGAGAAAUUCGGACUAAUAUCCCGUAAUAAUAUCCGGAGGCAUCUUUGGAUAUUUAAAGUUCCGACGGUACGGGAUGGGCAUGCGUAACAUUAGCUGGUUGGUAAGGUAACGGCUUACCAAGGCUAUGAUGUUUAGGGGUCCUGAGAGGGUGGUCCCCCACACUGGUACUGAGACACGGACCAGACUCCUACGGGAGGCAGCAGUGAGGAAUAUUGGUCAAUGGGCGCAAGCCUGAACCAGCCAUCCCGCGUGCAGGAAGACGGCCCUAUGGGUUGUAAACUGCUUUUCCAGGGAGAGAAACUUACGCACGUGUUGCGUGACUGACGGUACCCUGGGAAUAAGCAUCGGCUAACUCCGUG